GAGCAAGAGCCCGGAGAUGGAUUCUGAGACACGAAUCCAGGCCCUACGGGGUGCAGCAGGCGCGAAAACUUUACAAUGCUGGAAACAGCGAUAAGGGGACCUCGAGUGCCAGGAUACAAUCCUGGCUGUCGUAAUGCCUAAAAAGCAUUGCAUAGCAAGGGCCGGGCAAGACCGGUGCCAGCCGCCGCGGUAACACCGGCGGCUCGAGUGGUAACCGCUAUUAUUGGGUCUAAAGGGUCUGCAGCCGGCUGACUAAGUCUCUUGGGAAAUCUGACAGCUUAACUGUCAGGCUUUCAGGAGAUACUGAUCGGCUCGAGACCGGGAGAGGUGAGAGGUACCUCAGGGGUAGGGGUGAAAUCUUGUAAUCCUUGAGGGACCACCAGUGGCGAAGGCGUCUCACCAGAACGGAUCUGACGGCAAGGGACGAAAGCUAGGGGCACGAACCGGAUUAGAUACCCGGGUAGUCCUAGCCGUAAACGAUACUCGCUAGGUGUCGGCCACGGUGCGACCGUGGUCGGUGCCGUAGGGAAGCCGUGAGGCGAGCCACCUGGGAAGUACGGCCGCAAGGCUGAAACUUAA
rnacentral:rRNA from 1 species